rnacentral:rRNA from 1 species
GACGAACGCUGGCGGCGUGCCUAAUACAUGCAAGUCGAACGCAGUGGGGACGGGUGAGUAACACGUGGGUAACCUCCCAUCAGAGGGGAUAACACUUGGAAACAGGUGCUAAACCGAUACUGAUGGAUGGACCAGCGGUGCAUUAGCUAGUUGGUGAGGUAACGGCUCACCAAGGCCACGAUGCAUAGCCGACCUGAGAGGGUGCCCGGCCACACUGGGACUGAGACACGGUCCAGACUCCUACCGGAGGCAGCAGUGGGGAUUCUUCGGAAAUGGACGAAAGUUUGACUGAGCAACGCCGCGUGCGUGAAGAAGGUUUUCGGAUCGUAAAACUCUUUUGUUAGAGAAGCGGUAUCUAACCAGAAAGCCACGGCUAACUACGUGCCAGCAGCCGCGGUAAUAC